AUGGAAGAGAAGCCCGGUGACGAGAAUCACAGCCAUUGCAACCGAGGCCAGAGUGACCAGAACAACUUCCCAUGGUGUCAGUUGUCCGCUAAGGUUCUCCUCUUUCCUUGGAGGGGCAGUACUUGUGCUGGUGUCACUGGAGGUUAUAGCCGUUGUGUUAGUUUCCCUGGACGGUGUGGUUGGUCCGAGGGAGGUGGUCGUGAUGUUCCCACUGGAGGUUGUACUGGAGGUUGUGCUUGUUUCACUGGAGGUCAUACUGGAACCAGUAUUGGCAGGUGUGCUGGUCUCACCAGAGAUUGUGCUGGUUCCAGUGUUGACAGGUGUAAUAGUCCCUCCAGAGGUCGAGCUGGAUCCAGUGUUGGAGGUUAUACUGGAACCACUGGGGGUCACGCUGGAUGCAGCGUUGGAAGUCAGGGGGGAUCCAGUGCUGAAGGCUGUGCUAGAUCCUCCAGAUGUCACGCUGGAUCCAGUGUUGGAGGUUAUACUGGAACCACUGGGGGUCACGCUGGAUGCAGCGUUGGAAGUCAUGCUGGAUCAAGUGCUGAAGGCUGUGCUAGAUCCUCCAGAGGUCACGCUGGAUCCAGUGUUGGAGGUUAUACUGGAACCACUGGGGGUGACGCUGGAUUCAGUGUUGGAAGUCAUGCUGGAUCCAGUGCUGAAGGCUGUGCUAGAUCGUCCAGAGGUCACGCUGGAUCCAGUGUUGGAGGUUAUACUGGAACCACUGGGGGUCACGCUGGGUGCAGUGUUGGAAGUCAUGCUGGACCCACUGGGGGUCAUGUUGGAUCCAGUGCUGGAGGCUGUGCUGGAUGCAGUGUUGAAGGCUGUGCUAGUCUCAGUGGAGAUUGCCAUGGAUCUAGGGUUGGCCAUGACCACACUGGAAGUUGGGUGUGGCCCUAAAAAGACACACACACACACACAAAUUUGAGAUGGGACUAGGUAUUUGGGUAAUUAUGUAUGCAUUAAAGUUCCAGAGGCUCCUGAUCAUAAGGCAAAGGCUGGAGAAGAAUAAGUUAUAUGUAGUUUAAAUGUAAAAGACCUCCCAGGAUUUCAGGCUGCAAAUCAAGAUUAAUAGAUAUAAGGAAGCAUUUCCUCCUUCUUGAAGGCUCAGCUGGAGUUAAGGUUGUGCCUGUUUUUGGCCCUCACUACCUUAAAGGACAAAGACACUCAAUCACUCCAGAUGAACAGAAUUUAUCUCACUUGUCAUUCAUUUUCCUUUAACUGGGACACGAAUGCCUGUCGCCUUACCCCACGCAUGUGUGUUUUCCCCUCAGGAUUAUUCGAACUAACAUAGGAUUAAAAUCAAGCCCUAUUUGGGGAACCCCCCAUCUGCAAUGGGGUACAAAUUGGAGUUAAGUCAAAAUCAUGAGUAAAACUAAAUAAGAAACUGAGAUAAACAAGAAUAGGGGUGACAUGAAGGAGGGAUUGGAUUUGAUCUGAGAAGUUUUGGAGAGCAGACUGGAUGAGUCAAAAUUAUGUGAGGGCUAAUUUUGAUUCAAAAAUGAUGAAUUCUAAGUGAACAAUAGGAGACAGCCCAAGAAGUGUUUAAUAGAGUGUCAGAUGUGUUAAGACAAGUGGGAGUUAGUUUUGACUCUUGAAUCCUUUUUUCCUUCGUCUGAGGCUGACUCAGGCUGAUUGUGGAGCCAGGGUUAAGGACAGGAGAAAAAUUAAAUUUUUAGAAUAUUGAAGAGUGAGAUAUAUAUAUAUUUUUUUGUCUUUUUUUUUUUUUUUUUUUUUUUUUUUUUUUGCUAUUUCUUUGGGCCGCUUCUGUGGCAUAUGGAGGUUCCCAGGCUAGGGGUUGAAUCGGAGCUGUAGCCGCCGGCCUACGCCAGAGCCACAGCAACGCACGAUCCGAGCCGCGUCUACAACCUACACCACAGCUCACGGCAACGCCGGAUCAUUAACCCACUGAGCAAGGGCAGGGACCGAACCCGCAACCUCAUGGUUCCUAGUCGGAUUCGUUAACCACUGCGCCACGACGGGAACUCCGAAGAGUGAUAUUUUAAAAUAAUCAUCAACUCUUCUUGUUCUUAAUCCUGAAAACCCCAGCCAUAUCAUACAGGUUAUUUCUAUUUUAUGGAUGCAGAAACUGAGGCACAGAGAAGUUGAGUCACCCAAAAUGCACAGGCAACAGAUGGAGCAAUGAAUAAUUCAAGUGUAGGCAAUUGAACACUGGAGUCCACAGUUUUAACCACUGUGCUCUGACUGUCUCUCAGGUGAUACCUUAUUAGACUGAAGUGAUUGGAGUAAAAUGAUAACCUUCACUCUAUGGAGGAGAACCAGAGCUAUUGCUAGCAGUGGUAAUCAUCUCCCACAACCCCUUAAAAGCUCUUAGACUACCCACUUUAAAAGAAAAGCACUCACCAUAUUCUAAAAGUAGGAGAUGCAACAGUAACCAAUACAUAAAGGGAAUGUUUCUUUUCUGCAUCUUAAUCUGCGUCUUUGUAGCUGAAAAACAAGAUGCUUGGAUUCCAGAUGUGGCCAAGACCUAGAAGGCAAAGAACAGGAUUCUUGAGAAAGGAGAGUUCAGGGUGAAGAGAUAAAGGCUGGAGCUUCCAGGAGGUUGGGUAUCCUAAGUAUAUGUUCUUGGAAAGAAUCUUGAGCUUGGAGGUCGCAGACUGGACACCUGGGCUCCUUAAGCUUCCUCCAUGCGAUGUUGUUGCCUCUUGUGUUAUCAUGGAAUAGCUGCAGGGGCCUUUAUAGCUUCACCUAGGUUGGGGAGGGGUUGGGAAGUUGGCUUGUUCUUCUGCCAACUGUGAGCAGGAACAAAAAACAAUACUGAGCCUAAGAAGGAAUAGACUGGGGGUCAAGAGGAAGGUGAGAAAGGAGAAUGACAUGAUCACUCUAGGCAGGGCACUGAGCUGGGUUUGAGCAGGAAGUAGGACGGGUUAAGGAGAUCAAGGUUGUCAGAGUGGAAGGGACCCACCCUUGAGGCAGAAAUUGGGUCAGAAACCUGUUCCAGUUCAAGACCUUGUUUCCUGCUCGGGAAGCCUU
rnacentral:lncRNA from 1 species